GAAAUGCGAUAAGUAAUGUGAAUUGCAGAAUUCAGUGAAUCAUCGAAUCUUUGAACGCACAUUGCGCCCGCCAGUAUUCUGGCGGGCAUGCCUGUCCGAGCGUCAUUUCAACCAUCAAGCCCCCGGCCUUGUGUUGGGGACCUGCGGCUGCCCGCAGGCCCUGAAAACCAGUGGCGGGCUCGCUGUCACACCGAGCGUAGUAGCAAUCACCUCGCUCAGGGCGUGCUGCGGGUUCCGGCCGUUAAACAGCCUUACAAAACCCAAGGUUGACCUCGGAUCAGGUAGGAAGACCCGCUGAACUUAAGC
rnacentral:misc_RNA from 1 species